AACGAACGCUGGCGGCAUGCCUAACACAUGCAAGUCGAACGAGACCUUCGGGACCAGUGGCGUACGGGUGUGUAACGCGUGGGAACAUGCCCUCAGGUUCGGCAUAACUCCCCGACAGGGGUGAUAACACCGGAUAAUGUCUACGGACCAAAGAUUUAUCGCCUUUGGAUGGGCCCGCGUGGGAUUAGCUGGUUGGUAGGGUAAAAGCUUACCAAGGCGACGAUCCAUAGCUGGGUAGUGAGGCUGGUCAGCCACACUGGGACUGAGACACGGCCUAGACUCCUACGCAAUGCGGCAGUGGGGGAUAGUGGAAAAUGGGCGAAAGCCUGAUCCACCAAUGCCGCGUGAGUGAUGAAGGCCUUAGAGUUGAAAAGCUCUUUUACCCGGGAUGAUAAUGACAGUACCGGGAGAAUAAGCUCCGGCUAACUCCGUG
rnacentral:rRNA from 1 species